rnacentral:rRNA from 1 species
AUGCACGCUGGCGGCGUGCCUAAUACAUGCAAGUCGAGCGAACAGACGAGGAGCUUGCUCCUCUGACGUUAGCGGCGGACGGGUGAGUAACACGUGGAUAACCUACCUAUAAGACUGGGAUAACUUCGGGAAACCGGAGCUAAUACCGGAUAAUAUAUUGAACCGCAUGGUUCAAUAGUGAAAGACGGUUUUGCUGUCACUUAUAGAUGGAUCCGCGCCGCAUUAGCUAGUUGGUAAGGUAACGGCUUACCAAGGCAACGAUGCGUAGCCGACCUGAGAGGGUGAUCGGCCACACUGGAACUGAGACGCGGUCCAGACUCCUACGGGAGGCAGCAGUAGGGAAUCUUCCGCAAUGGGCGAAAGCCUGACGGAGCAACGCCGCGUGAGUGAUGAAGGUCUUCGGAUCGUAAAACUCUGUUAUUAGGGAAGAACAAAUGUGUAAGUAACUAUGCACGUCUUGACGGUACCUAAUCAGAAAGCCACGGCUAACUACGUG